rnacentral:lncRNA from 1 species
UGCACAGAAUCACUUGAAUACUAGGAAUUGUGAUGACAUUGAAGUGGAAUCGCAGGCACAAUGGACAUGGUGAAAAGCACACAAGGCAAACCCUGCCCAGCUGAUUGUGCUUAGCCUAACAUGCAAAAGAGGCACUUCCCAAGCUUGCCAGUACCCCAGGAGGUAUUAAGGUGGUUCAGAUGUAUGUCAGUAGACAGUGCCGAUAAAUGCUCUUCCAGCCUGAUCCUGUUCGAUCUGAUGUACAAACAGAUGCAAAAGAUAGCACUGUCUUUAGUAAAUGACUUGGAAAGUCAUUUUAGUCAUGAAAGAUUCCAAGAUGAAGCAUAUGUCAAGGCACACAAAAAUUUCUGAGCCAGAGACAGAAAAAGCUGUGGGCCACGGGCUCAGGAAGUUGAAUGGAUCUGAAUCUCAUAAAUGAAAUCACAGUAUUUUGGAAGUGAUGAGAGGGGAGAGGUUAAGAAAUUGUGUCCUGUAAUUAUCAUAUCAGCUUCCUGAUGAAUAUGUUACAAAAAAUGUUUCUUUUCUUCAUAUUUCAUCUGAAACCUGUGAGCUUGAAUUUGAAAGGGCUGAUUAUUCUGUUCUCUAUGAAUCAUUUAAGC